AUCCCAUGACGAGGACACUUAUGAAACAAUUCCUUGAAUUUUUCCCAGCCUCGUACAAAGAAUCAUCAUCCAAUUGUUGAAAAGUAGUUAUCUCAUUUUGCAACU
rfam:Gossypium raimondii chromosome 1, whole genome shotgun sequence.